CAGGACAGCUUAGGAACGCAUUACUUUCAAGACGAGGCACGCAAGGGGCAGCGACCAAGAACACAACGCAACGAAGAUACUGGACUACGAAAGCGCUCCAACCCACAAGUCCCACUGUGGACUGCGUCCACACCAGUGCGUGAUGCAUCGGAUAUCACGAAAACGAUAGCCGACGCUAAAGACCACGUGUUCACCUACGGAAGACGGGCUUUCAUGACGAAGCCCGACCAGCCACACGUGACAUCAGCGCCGCCACUGGGAUAUAUAAGCCAUGCCGAUUAGGACCACAUCAGAGGGCACGGCGGGACCUUCAUUAAUACAACGAUAAAUCCGUUGUUUCUUUUUGUACAGGACACGUUGUGGACUGCGUCUAUACCAGAGCGCGAUGCAUCGGAUAUCACGACAACGAUAGCCGACGCUCAGGACCACAUGUUCGCCUCCAAAAGGCGGGCUUUCAUGACGAGGCCAGAGCAGACAGACGUGACAUCAGCGCCGCCACCAGGAUAUAUAAGCCACGCCGACGGGGACCAUAUUAGAGGGCCCGCCGCCCGUGAUACACGUCUCCGGCUGGUUCAACUGAUCCUGCUGCCUAGAGACUGACCAUGGAACCAAACGGAACCAAGAGCGUGCACCUUCUCUUUCCCCUUCAGGGGAAGCUGGCUGCUCCUCAUCCUCAUCGCAUUGCAAUAACAAUGCGGUAUCAAGACGAAUGCGGAUCACUGUCAUUCUGUAGCAUUGCAUUUACCUGCGGGAGAUUGAAACUAGGUUCCUGAGCGCUGUUGUUGUCUCCCGUUUUAAUUACCUUCCAACUUUAUCUUGAAACACAUGCUUCCGCUCCACUCAGUAUUUUUUUUACGCAAUUGGGCUUAUGUUACUAAACUUCGUUUGUGUCGUCGGUACUGAC